rnacentral:rRNA from 1 species
UACGUAGGGUGCGAGCGUUGCCCGGAUUUAUUGGGCGUAAAGGGCUCGUAGGCGGUUUGUCGCGUCUGCUGUGAAAAACUCGGGGCUUAACCCCGGGCCUGCAGUGGGUACGGGCAGACUAGAGUGCGGUAGGGGGAGACUGGAAUUCCUGGUGUAGCGGUGAAAUGCGCAGAUAUCAGGAGGAACACCGGUGGCGAAGGCGGGUCUCUGGGCCGUAACUGACGCUGAGGAGCGAAAGCAUGGGGAGCGAACAGG